AACGUAGGUGGCGAGCGUUAUCCGGAUUUACUGGGCGUAAAGCGUGUGUAGGCGGGGAGACAAGGGGUGUAUGAAAUUUCCCGGCUUAACCGGGAAGGGUUAUGCCAGACUGUCUUUCUGGAGUGCGAGAGAGGGGCGUGGAAUUCCGGGUGUAGUGGUGAAAUGCGUAGAGAUCCGGAGGAACCCCAGAGGCGAAGGCGGCGCCCUGGCUCGCAACUGACGCUCAGACACGACAGCAUGGGGAGCGAACGGG
rnacentral:rRNA from 1 species